UAAUGGAUCAUUGCACCCUUUUAAAGGAUGACUGAUUUCUUCUGGUGUUCAGAGUCUUUUGUUUUCUAGCACCAUUUGAAAUCGGUUAUAAUGAUGGGGUAAAAAUUCAGCCUGCUGU
rnacentral:precursor_RNA from 14 species